GCGCUCCUACGGGGCGCAGCAGUGGGGGAUAUUGCACAAUGGGGGGAACCCUGAUGCAGCGACGCCGCGUGGGUGAAGGAGUGCUUCGGCAUGUAAAGCCCUAUCGGCAGGAAAGAAGCAAGACGGUACCUGACUAAGAAGCCCCGGCUAACUACGUGCCAGCAGCCGCGGUAAUACGUAGGGGGCGAGCGUUAUCCGGAUUCACUGGGUGUAAAGGGAGCGUAGACGGCCAAGCAAGCCAGGGGUGAAAGCCCGGGGCCCAACCCCGGGACUGCCCUUGGAACUGCAUGGCUGGAGGGCGGGAG
rnacentral:rRNA from 1 species